rnacentral:rRNA from 1 species
AUUGAACGCUGGCGGCAGGCUUAACACAUGCAAGUCGAGCGAGCGGCGGACGGGUGCGUAAUGUCUGGGAAACUGCCUGAUGGAGGGGGAUAACUACUGGAAACGGUAGCUAAUACCGCAUACCAUCAGAUUUGCCCAGAUGGGAUUAGCUAGUAGGUGGGGUAAGGGCUCACCUAGGCGACGAUCCCUAGCUGGUCUGAGAGGAUGACCAGCCACAUGGGAACUGAGACACGGGCCAGACUCCUACGGGAGGCAGCAGUGGGGAAUAGUGCACAAUGGGCGCAAGCCUGAUGCAGCCAUGACGCGUGUAUGAAGAAGGCCGUCGGGUUGUAAAGCACUUUCAGCGAGGAGGCGUUACUCGCAGAAGAAGCACCGGCUAACUCCGUGCCAGCAGCCGCGGUAAUAC